AAUUAAAGUUAAAAACGUUAUGAGUUAUGAUAUGUUUUUAUAUAAAAAAUUGUAAAUCAAAUAUUUAGUUACUUGUUAUAAGUGCGUGUAAAGGAUAUUGUAGGAGCAUUGUCCUUAUGGGUCUGUAAUGUGUUUAUUAUUUUUGCACCCUCAAAGUUGAUGAUCCAGUUGUGCCUAUACCUAUACCAGACCUAGAUUGCUUGACAUUUUCUUAACUCAAAUAUUACAAACGUAACUCGGAGUUUCAAACUUCAGAUCAUAG